UUUUUUUUUCGACUACAGGUGUUACAGCUGCCGAAGCAUUAUGGCAUCCAAAAGCGGUGCUGGCUCGGUUUCGUCACCUCCGGAACAUUAAAGUAACUGCUGCUUUACACUGUAUGGAAACGUGCUGAAAUCCCUGCAGACACCUGAAGGCAGCAGGACAGAUCUGCAGCCUCUGAUUUGAAAAGUGCCAGACCAGAGCGCAGAGCCAUUACGCACAGCCGCCCACUGUUUACCUUGUAGAAACACAUGCAGAUGACAUCAGGCUGCUAGAAAAUAACCACACACACAUCAGCUGAAGUGUUGCAUGACUGUAUCCUGGGUCAGGAUUAGGCCGUUAGCGAAGGCACCGCAAUGGCGCACUGAGACGAUCUGCCGCUGGUUGAAUGGCAGAGCUGGGUAGAUAUACUGUGAGGCUUGAGUGGAAGAUGAACAUUAGGUGUGCCAGUGAUCAGCAGCAGGAGGGAAAACCAGAGCGCCACGCCCAGGCCAGUACACACACACACUCACACACACACACACACACACACACACAGAGACAAACAGAGGACUAACAAGGAACUAACAAGGAGGGGAGAACUACAGCAGAGCAGCCAGUGGCAGGAGGAGAGAUGUGGCUAAACUAUGACAUUCAUUGUAGGAUUGUUAGCUGAAAGUACUUUUUUUGUUCCUCUGUGGGGAUUUUUGAAGAAUUUGGACACUGAAAUAGAAAUGGUGGAAGCUAAAUGUGCUAUAUAGCAAAUAGGAACCGAUUUCAGACAUAGUCCAUGUGAUUUGGAAUUCCAUUUGAACUACAACUGCAAUGACUUAUAGUGUCAAAUUCAAAAAACUGUCGAAGUUCAGAUAGUGUUGAAAUUUCUGUUUAAAUGGUCAGGAUGAGGUCCAGCUAAGAUUAGAUUUAGAAGUAUGUCACAUGUUAAUGGUCCCAUGGCUCCAAAUUAAAUUCUGGUCAGCUGAAGGACAAGUGGUGUGAUUACAAACGUCACUGUAUCGUCAGAAUGAAGUACCGAGCGAUUUACAAGAAGACCAGCCUUUUCCUUCAACAACGUGCAAUGGAAAAGUCAUGUUGUUUUACAAAUGCACUCGCUAGGAAAAAUUGGAUAAGGAUAAGGUGCUGGUAUUGAGUAUGCUUUUCACACAUCAAUAUUGACCCACUUGAAAAUGUUUUUGAUUACCACAAGGUCUCCUGUGGCAAAUCUCCAAAAGUUCCUUUUUGCCAAUUCUUAAAUUGAGUUAAUGGUUUCAUUGCCCAAAGUUUUGAGCGUUCCUUCUAAAAGGAUGGCCGGGGAAGGUUGGAGCAGGCUGCUGAGUAAAUGCUGCAGGUUUCUUUUUUAACGUUUCUCGUGUACAGGCUUGUCUGAGCGGCAGAGAGGGUAUAAGCCAGAGAGGAAAUGCUUUGGGAGGAACAAGGGCAUGCCGUUGGUUGCUGGUGCAAUCUCUGUUUGGUGGUACAUUGGUGAUUUUACCAGAACAACUGCUCCCAACAGAAAGAUUAGUGUUUCAAGUGCACAAGAGUGGAAGUCCUGGAACAAGCUCGCAAAAUCAAAACACUCUUCACGUCAUAUCAGAGUUCAAAGUUUACUUCCAUUAUCAGGACACUUUAUCACUGGGUUCCAGCUCAUAUAUCAUUUAAUAGCGAGAUUACAUUACUAAUUACUCCGUAAUAAACAUAACCCUGUCAACAAAACCCUGUCUCCAAUCUUAAAUGUAUUUCAGUCGAAGGAUUAUAUUUUCCAUGCAUCAAGAGGCGCGUUUUAUAGGUCACAAAAAGCUGAAACAAAGCUUCCAUUCAACAGUGAGCGUAACCAUAAGUUAUAAACACAACAAGCGUUUUAUUACAGCCACAUAUGACAACAGUCACAUCUUUACAAGCUCAAGAACAGUUACUGUAAUUCAGCAUAUAGACGUCUUUGCAAAUCUUGCCCUUUACUCUGUGGUAGGCAUGAAGAUGUAAGCCAGCAGCCUCGAGGAACACACCCUUUUAUCAUAUACUGUAUCUUUAUAUCUUAUAA